GACGAACGCUGGCGGCGGGCUUAACACAUGCAAGUCGAACGGAAAGGCCCUGCUUUUGUGGGGGGCUCGAGUGGCGAACGGGUGAGUAACACGGGAGUAACCUGCCCUGGACUUUGGGAUAACUUCAGGAAACUGGGGCUAAUACCUGAUAGGAGCUCCUGCUGCAUGGUGGGGGUUGGAACGUUUCGGCGGGUGGGGAUGGACUCGCGGCUUAUCAGCUUGUUGGUGGGGUAGUGGCUUACCAAGGCUUUGACGGGUAGCCGGCCUGGGUGGUGGGACGGCCACCUGGCGACUGAGAUAGGGCCCAGUCUCCUACGGGAGGCAGCAGUGGGAAAUAUUGCACAAUGGGCGCAAGCCGGAUGCAGAAACGCCGCGUGCGUGAUGACGGCCUUCGGGUUGUAAACCGCUUUCGCCUGAGACGAAGCGUGAGUGACGGUAAUGGGUAAAGAAGCACCGGCUAACUACGUG
rnacentral:rRNA from 1 species